UACGGAAGGCAGCAGUGGGGAAUAUUGCACAAUGGGCGCAAGCCUGAUGCAGCCAUGCCGCGUGUAUGAAGAAGGCCCUUCGGGUUGUAAAGUACUUUCAGUCGUGAGGAAGGUGUUAAGGUUAAUAACCUUAGCAAUUGACGUUAGCGACAGAAGAAGCACCGGCUAACUCCGUGCCAGCAGCCGCGGUAAUACGGAGGGUGCGAGCGUUAAUCGGAAUUACUGGGCGUAAAGGGCACGCAGGCGGUUAAUUAAGUUGGAUGUGAAAUCCCCGGGCUUAACCUGGGAAUGGCAUUCAAGACUGGUUAGCUAGAGUCUUGUAGAGGGGGUAGAAUUCCAUGUGUAGCGGUGAAAUGCGUAAAGAUGUGGAGGAAUACCGGUGGCGAAGGCGGCCCCUGGACAAAGACUGACGCUCAUGUGCGAAAGCGUGGGGAGCAAACGAGGGAUUAGAUACC
rnacentral:rRNA from 1 species